rnacentral:rRNA from 1 species
GACGAACGCUGGCGGCGUGCUUAACACAUGCAAGUCGAGCGGUAAGGCCCCUUCGGGGGUACACGAGCGGCGAACGGGUGAGUAACACGUGGGUGACCUGCCCUCAGCUCUGGGAUAAGCCUGGGAAACCGGGUCUAAUACCGGAUAUGACUCCAUGACGCAUGUUGUGGGGUGGAAAGCCUUGUGCGGCUGAGGAUGGGCCCGCGGCCUAUCAGCUUGUUGGUGGGGUGAUGGCCUACCAAGGCGACGACGGGUAGCCGGCCUGAGAGGGCGACCGGCCACACUGGGACUGAGACACGGCCCAGACUCCUACGGGAGGCAGCAGUGGGGAAUCUUGCGCAAUGGGCGAAAGCCUGACGCAGCAACGCCGCGUGGGUGAUGAAGGCCU